GAUUUCACCUAAAAAAUUCAUCAACAACAAAGUUGUGCAACUCAUCAAUAUCUAUAACUUUUAUUUUGGUCAUUUCUUCAUCCGACAAAGUGAUAGUAACAUUGUUCACAAAAUUUACACAUCUCUCUUAUAGUUUAAAAAACAAUGUAAGAGAUAUGCAAAUUUUGUGAACGAUGUUUCUAUCACUUUGUUGGACAAAGAAAUGACCAAGUUAUAGAUAUUGAUGAGUUAUACAACUUUGUUGUUGAUGACUUUUUCAGUUGAAAUC
rnacentral:pre_miRNA from 1 species